AAUUUCAUGAUGAACAAACUUUUGGCAGAAUACUAUGUUGACUACCAAAUUACGAGCUUUUUAAUACUGAAGUAC